UCGCUUCAGAGUCUGCUUUUAGUACUAGUGGUAGAGUGCUAAGUGAUCAUCGAAGUCGACUUACUCCCAAAACUUUAGAGGUUUUGAUGUGUGCACAAAAUUGGCUUCGUGUUGGUCAAGCAAAAGGAAAAGAAGAUUAUAUGGGUUUGUGGACUUGUCUUGAAGAUAUACAAGAAGAACUUGUGGAACUCUCCUUUGGAUUCUCCAUGAUGCCAAAUGAAGAAAUUUGAAGGAAAAUUCACAAGAUGUCAAAUGAAGUUGAAUGCCAUUCAGCCAUGCUCAUUACAAUAAUUUGUUGUUGCAUUUUGAAAACUAUGUAUGACUGUAAUUUCAUUCCAAGAACAUGUUUUAUGAUGUAUUGU